rnacentral:lncRNA from 1 species
ACUGGGACUCAGGGCCUCGGAGCGCUGCGGUCUCGGGUGUUCAGGUCCAUGGUCCUGAACCCCAAAGGCUCCAGGGCUCCAGGGGUGGGGCUGGUGGGGUUCGCCCUGCCCAGCCGGGGGCGCCGGCCGGGGAGGGAGGGGAGGGCGCAUGGCCGGGCUCAGCCUGGCCGCGCCCCGCCCCGGGAAGCUCCCACUCCCCCUGCCGGAAUCCUGGGAAUGUCACCGCCCCGGGAAGCAUCUGGCCGGCCUCUGGGCAGAGGGUGGGGUCAAACCUGGAAUUUCUCGGGUGCUUUUGCACAAAAUCCCUGCAAAGGGGAAUCAGCUGCAUGAAGCUGAAGCCCAUGGAAUUGAGAAGGAGGCUGCCCACUUCUCCAGGCAGCCUUUGUCAGCACCUCUUCCAAUCUCCGCCGGGAGGGCGACCGCACGCUCCUUUCCCGUUCGGAAGAUUCCUUCUUUGUGUCGGCGGGGGCAGUCCUUCCGGAGCUGGAAACCGAGGGACCCCGGCAGGCGUUUCCAGCUGGACUGUCGCCAUCUUGUGGCAGGACUGGGUGGCCACACUGGCCCAACGGCCAGAUCCGCAUGCCCACAACUUUCUUGGGUUCCAAACGUACCUUUCCUUCUUUCCCCAACCUGCUAGGAACUGGAUUUUAAAAUCACGUUCCCUGAAGAUACCUCGGUUCUGUCCUCUCCCAAUUGCACGGGCGUUGUCUUCCUAAAAGCUACCCUGCUCUUUGGAGAGUCCAGUGCAAGCCUCACUGAGGGGCUCUGUGUUAAAUCCAUCAAAACCAACUCGUACGAGGCGUCAAUCCUCCACCAAUUUCCCAUGAGACAAACCAAUGAUUAAGAGCACAGAGACGCACUCUGGUUAGUGAUGUUAUUAUACUUGAUGAGUAUUAUUAAAGGACCCCUGUUAUUAAAGACUCCCCAUUAUUAUUGUUA